UCAAUGACAUCUGCAGGCUUCCCUUCUGAUUCUAGUUCUUUUGCUAUUUUGCUAGUACAUCUGCAGUUACCUCCUCCACUGAAGUCUUAAGUCCCUCAAAGUCAUCCAUGAAGUUUGGAACAACUUCUUCCAAACUCUUAUUAAUGUGGAUAUUUUGACCUCCUCCCAUAAAUCACAUACGUUCUUAGUGGCAUGUAGAAGGGUUAAUCCUUUACAGAAGGUUUUCAGUUUACUUUGCCCAAAUCCAUUAGAGGUGUACAACUUAAAAGCCAGAUUAAAAGAAAAAAAUCAGGUUUUCUAUAAAUAGCUUGUUACUUACUUUUGUGUAUGGUCCUUGGAAAACUAUCAUAUACUCAAUUUUAUUUUAGUUAUUGGGAGAGCAGAGCUAAACAUACCUGGCUAUGUAGCUCUCAGUAUAUGUUUUUCUUUUGUUUGUAAGCACACCUGGGGCAGGAUUUCUUGCCAAACUAGGUGGUGUGGAAUUUCGGGGUUUGACAUUAGCUCUAUAAAAAAGAGGAAAAAUAAUGGAAAAGUAUUGAACAGUGAGCAUGUAUUUCUCAAAUUACCUAUUCACAUGACUAGAAAGAAUACUUAGAAGCUUCAGAGAAGUUCAAAAGAUUAAAGUCCCAAUAAUUAUUUUAAAUCUGAAAGCAAAUAGUAGUUAAUAUUAAAGAUAAACCAAAUAAUUUUGCAUUUACUAAUACUAUUCUGAUAGUAAAUAAAAUCAACUAAAAUAUGUAUAUAUGCUUUACAUGAAAUUUAUAAGGUAAUCAUUCUGAAAGAUACAUUUUUAAAAACAGUUUAAAUUUAUAUUUCCCUCAAAACAUAUAUUCUGAUAAAUGCUUACGGAUAAUGGUUAAAUAAACAAACAAGUUUCAUUAUUCUAGGCAUAUACGAUGUAGUUAAAAAAAGAAUUUUUUUGCUAGUCACAUUAAAGAAUAAUAUUCAACUUAUGAAAGUUCUAAAAAGCAGCAACUAAAAUAAAUGAGUUAAUAUAAUAUUCCCUUUAAAGAUUUAAUUUUACCAACUGCACAGCCUGGGCUAUCCGAAAUCAGAGGGACUUCUGGUUGGAUCAUCCAUGAGUCUCCAUUUUGAAACUUUAAGAAUCAAAGAAGGGUUAGAAAACUAAAUGAUGAUGAUAUAACACUAAAAGCAGAGGCUUGGGAAUUCAAAUGAAUUUAGAUUCAAAUGCUAAUGCUACUGACAGCUUUGUGACAGCAAGUCUGAGUCUCAUCAUUUAUAAAAUGAUCACUUAUAGAAAGGUUAUGAGAAAAAAAGUACAAUUCAUAUAAACAUUUAGAUAGCUGAUGCUAAUACUAUUACUACUGUUGUUGCCACUAUAAGUUAACAUUUAUAUAAUAGUGCUUACUCCAUGUCAAGUACAAUUCUAAUUAUUUUGCCCAUAGAAAUUUAUUUAUCCUAAUAAUCCUAUGAAAUAGGUAGCGUUCAUAACUCCAUUUACAGAUAAGACAAAUGAGGUAAAGAGCCCCUAAGUAACUUACCCAAGGUGACCCUGCUAGUGUGUUCCAAAGCUAGGAUUUAGAUGUUCAUUGAAGCAUAGUUCCCUCCCUCUCUAUAGAGCUUUAAUCAAAUCUUUAAAUUUCACAGGUGAACAGUGUUAUAUGAACAGCAGAAUACUUUAAAAAAUACCUCCAGAUUAGAGGUUCUUAAACUUUAGUUGAAAUUUUUCUUACUCUACUUAUAUGGCAAAGUAGGAGAGAGUACCCUAAAAUUGUAAAUAGCUGCUUCCAAAGUACAUGCAGGUAAUAACAACAUCCACUAUUUUUCAAACAGCCACUACAUGACAAUUAUGAAGCCAGAUACUACACAUGCCUUAUUUAAUGUCCCCCAAAUCUCAGAAGAUAUUAUUCCCAUUUUAAAGUGGAAGCAUGUUCAAAGAGAUUAUAUAAAUUGUGAGGCUACUACGUGGCCAGAGUAGUACUUGAACUUAAGUGGGCUGUAUUACAGAACUCAUAUUCAAUACACAAUGCUGUCAUUCAAAGUGGUUGCUUUGCAUAGUUACUUCUUUAAAUUACUUCUAAACUUCAACAAGCAAAGAAUCACUUUGGUGCAUGAAUGGAAUGCCCUGCACCUCUUCAAAUGCUCACUCCAAGUCCAUUCAUGAGGUUUACUCUACUCUUGUGUAUAGCCUCUUUGGGGAUGUUGUAGAACUACUAGAGUCUUUUUCUAGAAAUUCAAUCUUUAGGAAAUCAUUGUCAAAGAAUGGACUUUAAAUAGGAAGAACACUUUUUUUUUUUUUGGCUAUAGAAUCGUCUUAAGUGCAUGAGAUAUACAAACAAUACAAACACACCCAUGAAUAUAUACACAUAAUGUCACCAUAUCGGUAACUUGAGGUUGUUCAAAAUGUUUAUAUUUAGAGGAAAAUAUAAGAGAUUAUCAUCAUUAAUAGCUACCAAUAUUAAAUACCUGUCAUUUAUUUUUAGUAACAUCUAGAAUGGCCUUGAUCACUUAAAACAUCUUGCCCCAGUCUUACACAGUCCACAAAUUUUUCUUUCUGUUCAGAAUCUGCAAAGCAUUACUCUUACUCUGUAUCUAGAAUCUACCUGUUAACAGCUCAUAUGAAUAAUUAAAGAAGGUUUAAUUUUGGAAUUGUACUUAAUCCAUCUUACUGCUAGUCACUGUUACUGUGAGAUCUGCAUCAGAGAGUUCUGACAGUAGAAUCAGCAAAAUGAAAAACGGCUCACAGCACAAACUCUUCCUGCUAGGAUUUAUCACUACUUAAAAAUAGCAAAUGGCUGCUGCUAGUAUCUUAAAGACUUCUCCUACCUUUGUUUAUCUAGUUAAAUUUAUUAUUACUUUUCAUACAUACAUACUGAGCAGACUGUUGUAGUAGGUGUUGGUUUAAAAGUUAACUAAGUUACUCUGCUUAAUAUUUUCCACCAUUAAUAGGUAUAUUAAUUUUUAGGCCCUAAUUUCAUAUUUAAAAUGUGGGCUAGAAUUGAGACCCAAAUUAGUAAACCUUGAAGACUCAUGCUGUAGAGUUUCAAAGUAACUGCCAUUGCCACACACUCUUUUCAGCCAGCCAGGUCAGAACUGGCUGUGUCAUACUCUUCCUCGAGCUUGACUCUUUGGCAGUGUCAUACUUUUUCCCGGUUGUAGGCAGAAUUUACAACCAUCUAACAAAAAGACUAAGGACCCUUGGAUUGAAAGUUUCCUAAAAUCUUUUCUUUUUCUGGGCUUUUUAUAAUAGUUCACCAUCGGCUUAUCUAAGAGAUAAUCUAACAAUAUUAUAUACUGUACAAGACAUUAUUUUUCUCAAACUCUGCUUUUUAAAACUACUAUUACAAAAAACCCUAAUUACUACUAAAAAAAACUUCAUAAAAAUAAUUAUUAAAUGUGACUGCAAUUUGAAACCUCAAAAAAUUAAUAUUUAAUGGAAUAAAAUGUAUAACCUAAAAAGUUUUAUUUAGUACAACAGAAAUGCUUACUAAAAAUCAAAAUGUUUUAAAUCCUAGAUUAUUUGACACAUUUUGGCUUAGAAAUUAUUCAACAGAUUUUUUUAAGUAUAGGACAGUAAAAGUUAUGUUAUUCCAUUAUAUAAAGCUUUUAAGGAAAUAUCUGAAAAAUAUUAACCAAACUGAGUUACAAAUACUUACUUGUAAAUAGGUAAUAACUCAUGUCUUUUGAUGGCACUGUCUGAUUUUGUAUCACUGUCAUACAACCUUUGCACAAGUCUUCCCGUUCGAAGUGGAGGGCCUAACUUGUCCAUAUUACUAUUAAAAUAUAUAAAGGUGUACCCAUAAGGAGAUUGCUACUGCUUCUUUAUAUAAAGUUUUUUUAAAAGACAUUAUUCUGGUUCAUCAGAUAUCUACUCCCCAAGUCCUUAAUUUUAUCUGACUGUCAAGGUAAGAACUAAUGUCCAAAAGAAUCCUCAGAGAGUUCAUACAAUGUCCAUUAUUAGGUCUGAAAAUUCUGACUACACAGGCUACCCUACACAUCCAAACAAAUGUCAAAUUAUACACAGCAGGGCAAUGGAAUCAAUGAAGAAACUUAGGAAGAACAACUAUUUCAAAAAAAAAAUCAUGAAGCUAUAAGUGAACUGAAUGCUGUUAUUCACAAAUGAUUUUUCUUCCUCCCAGAAUUCAUGGAAACUUUCUCUACUCUUCAUAUUAUUUAUUUCCGUGCUUUUUAAAAUUCCAAAAAUAAGGAAUUGACUAAAUAACAUGUACUCCAUUUGACUUUCUAACUCCACUGACUUCUAACAAAAAAGUGACUUUAUUUCUGAAAUGUAUCCAAAGUAAAACAGGACUCGGCAUGGAAAAAAAAAACAUGGAUGACAAUUCUAAAAAUCACAUAUAAUAAUGGUAAGGGGCCUAUAUAUACACACACACAUUUUGACCAAAAUUAUAAAGGCUCUCCAUCUAGAGGAUAGCAGGACAAACUGCAGGUUUGUAGGAUAUUUCACUGUUUUAAAUCAACCAACCAAAUAACUGAAUCAUAUAAACUAUCACCAACCAACAUCUAGUCAUAGUAGGAAGCAGGGAAAAUUGAAUUAUGACAUUAGGAAACAAUCUUAUUUGCUACUGAAUAACACAUCACUGCUUGUUAACUUUAAAAGUCUGUUCUUUUUAAGAGAUAUUUGCUCACUCAUUUCUUUACUUAUUCACUGACUAUAAACCCUGAGCAUCUAUUAUGAGCAUCUAUUAUGUGUCAGGCACUGUGCUCCAUUCUCAGGAUGUGGUGGUAAAUAAGAUAGAUCUGAUACCUGUUCUUAUGGAGUUUAGUGUCUGAAAAGAAUGUGUUCAUUUUCCUAGAUUAUAGAUAUCUAAGAGGAGGGACACAUUUUAUUAAUUUUUGUCUUCUUUCAGUAGCUUAUACAUAGCAGGCAUUUUGUUGAAAAAGUUGAUAUUAAUACUUUGCAGGUGGUGGUGUUUACGUGAGGAUUUAAAGUUCUUAAAAGCAGCCUUCAUUAAAUAAAUGUAUUAAGUAAAAUUUCUAAAAUAUUUUAAAUUAAAAUUUGUUUUUAAUUUGUUAAAGUACAAAGAAACCCAUCUAUUGGAAUUUUAAACAUUCAGAUUUUA
rnacentral:lncRNA from 1 species